UACGAAGGGGGCUAGCGUUGUUCGGAAUCACUGGGCGUAAAGCGCUUGUAGGCGGAUCGUUAAGUCAGGGGUGAAAUCCCGAGGCUCAACCUCGGAACUGCCUUUGAUACUGGCGAUCUUGAGUCCGGAAGAGGUGAGUGGAACUCCUAGUGUAGAGGUGGAAUUCGUAGAUAUUAGGAAGAACACCAGUGGCGAAGGCGGCUCACUGGUCCGGUACUGACGCUGAGGUGCGAAAGCGUGGGGAGCAAACAGG
rnacentral:rRNA from 1 species